rnacentral:sRNA from 1 species
UAAUGAACAUAGAAAAAGGAGCUGGUCUGCAAACCAACUCCAAUGCAGAACCGUUAAAAAGACGGUAGCUCUGUUAAACGAAAAUAAUCC